AAAAUCAAUGUUGUUAACUUCUGUAUAUUUUAAUAUUCGAAACCUAGUUAAUUCAUAGAAAACUUAGAAUUUAUAUUGAAGUCAAUGAAAAGAUGUCUCGAUUACUCCAUUAUGAAGAAGAAUAAAAACUGGUCUAGUAUCAGAAUGGUAGCACAUCAUUGAUGUUAACAAUCUGAUAACCACAAUUUCCCCUCCCAAAACACCCUGCACAAACAAUCAAAUAUUCAACUAAUACACAGCCAAGCGAUAGGAACAACAACAAUAACGUCAAUAAGCGUAAUACAAUCGGGGACAAUUUUUCAAUUUUUCAAUUUGCCUGAAUGGAAAGAGUGCGAGAGUAUCUUGACGGGGUGCUAAAGGUUGCGAAAUUGCGCGACUGCCAGCCAGUUCGGGGAAUUCCUGUGGAAACGAUCUGGAAAAAGUGCGCCGCUGAAUCAAUUUCCUCCCGAAGACGGAAAGAGAAAAAAAGAAGGGAGAUUUUUACUGCUGUGUGCUUUCUUAAAAUAACAAAAUUACUUUUUAUAUGCAGGCGACUUUAGGACUCAGGACACAGCCGCACAAAUAACAACAACAGCAUGCCAUUGACAACCAUUAAUCAUGAAAGCCUGUCAGGGCGGGUCGCAGGCAGGCAGGCGGGCCGGGUGUGGCAAAAGAGGAUGGGGCUCGUCUGUGCUUCUGCCUGAUGAUUGUCCUGUGUUGCAGUACUGUUUUUCUUUUCUCUAUUUUUGGUUUUUUUUUUGCUUUAAAUUUUGCCUUUACAUGCUAAUGCCUUGCAAUGGGGCUCAAGUCAUGCUCGUGCCCAUGCACAACCACGCCCAACUGCGAAAUUGACAAGCAAACCGAGUGCGUUUUGACAUGACACUUGCAAGGGACCACUAGCAAUAGCAAUAGCUGUAGCAGUAGUUGUGGCUAUGGCUGGGUCUGUGGGUGAAGCAUGGCCAGGACGAGACGCUGAACGUAGGCGUGAGCAGCCAGCAUAGGACAAGCACACAGUGGCAUGAGGCAAGAGGCAGGAGGCAGAAGGCAAGCGACAGGCGGCAACGAUAGGUAGGUUAUAUAUGCCAUCAUUAGACGUGGUCUGUUUGCCACGCCCGUUCUGUUGCUGUUGAUGCUAUUCUUGCUGUUGUUGCUCACUCGCAAAUUGGCAGCACUGCAAUGAAGGACCAUGUCAUGUCACAGGCUAGAGCAAUACAACGUGCCUGAUGGCCGGUCAAAGUUCAAUGCGAAAGCCAAAUUCCGAUUGUCAAGAUGUUACUGCAAGCUACAUACACAUAUGUAUGGAUAUAUUUACAUGCGAGCAUGUGUGCGAGUCGGACAUGUCUAAUUGCUCAGUUUAUGGGGGCUACAUGUCAUAAAGUGCAAAUGCAUGCCAAGCACCAACAAGCCCAAAAGCUGGCUAUAAAAUUUGCUAUUGCUGCUUCUAGGUUUGGUCCGUGAUUUGUAUGUGAAAUUUGACAUGCAUUUUCAAUUUAACACCAGCUUUAAAGAGUCACUUCUCCAUCCAAUAAUGAAUUCCAUUCAUUUUGUUUGUCUGCCAUCCUCAUGGAGCAUCACCUCUACCCGCCGCGUCGCCUCGACGACUUGUGCCGUGCCGGCCACGAUAAAACUUUAUGCACUGCAAAGGCCAGCAUUGACAUUUCAAGUGCUGCCGCUCUUAUAGAAAGGAAAAAAGAGGCUACGAUGGAGGUUCACCAGUCCUGGCGCCAUUGGAGAAAAUAGUUUUAAUAAUGCACAAGACGACUCCAACGGAAAGUAACAUAAAAUGAAGGACAUACGAGACCAGCAGCAGCUCACACAGAUAAGACCCUCGACUGUCCAAGUUCCGCCCAAGUACAUCAGCAGCAACAACACCAAUAACACCAGAAUAAAAAAGAGCACAGAAGAAGCUGGAAAACGUAAAAGGUGGCAAGAAAUAGAAAACAUGGAUGGGCAAUGCAAGUUUGUCUAUUCGAUGUCAAAAUGAAUACUUUUGCAUUAUUUAUGCUAGUGCUUUUAUUUGUUUUUUCCGAUAACGAAGUGCAAAAAGCAAAACAAUUCAAUGAACUUCUCUCAACAUCCACAGAGAGCCACAUUUUCGAAACUUUAAACAGCAAAGGCUUUAACCAACUACUCUUAUACGUGGUGUGUAUUGUUUAUAUAAAAUAUGUUUUUUGGAAGAACUAUUUUAAUGAUGGAAAGAUAAUAUUGUUCAUUUAAUAUAUGAUGUGCUUUAUAAA